UACGUAGGUGGCAAGCGUUGUCCGGAUUUACUGGGUGUAAAGGGCGUGUAGCCGGGUUGACAAGUCAGAUGUGAAAUCCUGCGGCUUAACCGCAGAACUGCAUUUGAAACUGUUGAUCUUGAGUACUGGAGAGGCAGACGGAAUUCCUAGUGUAGCGGUGAAAUGCGUAGAUAUUAGGAGGAACACCAGUGGCGAAGGCGGCCUACUGGACGGUGACUGACGCUGAGGCUCGAAAGCGUGGGGAGCAAACAGG
rnacentral:rRNA from 1 species